UUCCAGACUCCUACGGGAGGCAGCAGUGGGGAAUAUUGCACAAUGGGGGAAACCCUGAUGCAGCGACGCCGCGUGAGUGAAGAAGUGUUUCGGUAUGUAAAGCUCUAUCAGCAGGGAAGAAAAUGACGGUACCUGACUAAGAAGCCCCGGCUAACUACGUGCCAGCAGCCGCGGUAAUACGUAGGGGGCAAGCGUUAUCCGGAUUUACUGGGUGUAAAGGGAGCGUAGACGGCAUGGCAAGUCAGAUGUGAAAGCCCGGGGCUCAACCCCGGGACUGCAUUUGAAACUGUCAGGCUGGAGUGCAGGAGAGGUAGGUGGAAUUCCUAGUGUAGCGGUGAAAUGCGUAGAUAUUAGGAGGAACACCAGUGGCGAAGGCGGCUUACUGGACUGUAACUGACGUUGAGGCUCGAAAGCGUGGGGAGCAAACAGGAUUAGAUACCCUUGUA
rnacentral:rRNA from 1 species